UACAGCUUUUAUUUUUUUGGCCUUCAGAGGACCAAAGGUCCAAACUGAACCGUCUCUACCAAAGUUGAUGAACUGAACCCUAGUGGCUAUUCCCUUUCUCUGGUUUUGAUCUCAUCCAAUCCUUUUAUUUUGUGGAUAUCAGCAUUCAAAUUUUUCUUUGCCCUCUGUCAGAACUAAUAAUUAAUAUGCUUCUCUAAGCAUCUCACCUCGACCUGCCAAAAUUAGGGUUUUCAGAUUCUGCAAUGGUGGGGAUGACGAAUUCCACUUCGAGAGAUAGGCUCGCCACCCUCGUCAGGUCGUCCAUAGACAUACCUUCAAAGCUUGAAAAUUUGCGUCAAUUAAACCAAAAUUUGCUCCAAGAAGAUGACACUGGUUCGCUUUCUGAGUUCCUCCCUCGCCUCUUCGAGUUGCAGUCUGAUCAGCAUUCUCCGGUUCGCAAACGUGUUGCCCAGAUAAUUGGAGAAAUUGGACUCAACCACUUGGAAUUUGUGCCUGAAAUCGUUCCUGUUUUAAUGAGUGUUUUGGAAGAUAGUGCACCAGCCGUUGCUAGACAAGCCAUCACUUGUGGGAUUAAUUUGUUUCGGUCUACCCUUCAAAAACUUGCGAUUCAGGGACUUUACGCCAGUGAUUUGGAUGAUUUGCUCAAGUCAUCGUGGUCUUCAAUGUUAGAAUUCAAGGAAAAAAUGUACUCUAUAGCUUUUCAGCCUGGAAGUGGCGGGGUAAGGUUGCUAGCCUUGAAGUUUGUGGAAGCAGUCAUUCUUCUUUACACACCUGAUCCAAAUGGCUCCCCAGAACCCCCUCGUCAUGAAGGAGAACUUGUGGAGUUUAAUAUAUCAUGGCUUCGUGGGGGCCACCCAAUACUAAAUAUAGGAGAUUUGUCAAUUGAGGCCAGCAAAAGAUUGGGUUUAUUGCUUGAUCAGCUUAGGUUCCCAACAGUGAAAUCUCUCAAUAACUUGGUGAUUGUGGUGCUCAUUAAUGGUCUUGCUACAAUUGCAAAGAAAAGGCCCCCAUAUUAUGGACGCAUCCUGCCAGUUUUACUUGGUUUGGGUCCAUCAGGCUCUGGUAUUGAAGUUAUGCAUGCAUCUGGAGCAAAUCAUGCUUUGAAAAGUGCUUUCCUCACCUGCUUGAAAUGUACGCACCCUGGUGCUGCACCGUGGCGGGAUCGUUUAGUUGGUGCCCUAAGAGAGCUGAAAGCUGGAGGGGUCGCUGAGGAAGCCCUACAUCAAGUUUUCAAGAUUAAGAGGGGUACUGAGGAGGGAGAGGAAGUUUCGACAGCUGUUAUGGAUGAGGUUGAAACAUUUGAUGGCAUACAAGGUAUAUUGGGAAGGAAAAGAUCUGGAGCAGAGGAUAGUAGUGAGUUGGCAGAAGACAAUGAUGUGUCUGGAAAACGUGCCAGACCGAUGCCAAGUGUUUCAGAGGAAUCAACUAAAGAGUUGAAUAGGAAUAUUUCAGCGUCUCAAGAUGAUGGUCCUGCAGAUGGACCUACAGUUAAUGGAGGAGAAGAUGAUACUGGACCUGUACAGCAACUUGUUGCAAUGUUCGGAGCCUUGGUUGCUCAAGGUGAAAAAGCUGUUGGUUCCUUGGAGAUUCUUAUUUCGAGUAUCUCUGCUGACUUGUUAGCUGAAGUAGUGAUGGCUAACAUGCGCUACCUUCCUACUAGUCAUCCUCAAGCUGAAGGAGACGAUGAAUCGCUAGUGAAUAUGACUAUAAUUGGUAGUAACACUCAAGCCAAGUAUCCAUAUUCAUUUUUGACUAAUGUUCUUUCACUUUCUACUUCUUUCCCGCCGAUAGCAUUACGGCUAAAUGCUCACCAGUCAGCUUCCAAUGACAUAGAGAGGACGGCACAAGUGCAGCCUGUGGCUGAUAGUAAUGUUGUAUAUUCUGGAAUAAGUCAUGGAGCUGAAAAUGAAAUCUUACCUGCUAGUUUACCGGCACCUUCAAAUGUGAUCUUAUCUGGAAUGGAGAUGGAUAUUCCAUCUGAUAGCCUGAGUCUUGGGAAUCUGGAGAGUGAGAUACCUGGCCUAGAUUCUUCUGCUCAUGAUGAUGGAUGUUCUGAAACUGUGGCCGCUUUGUCAUUAGUCUCUACCGAUCUGGAAGAUGCCAGUCAAGAGCAAGUUACAAGUUUGGAUGGAAGUUCAACCCUGGAUUUGCAUCCAGCGGCAUCAACAGAUAGGUCAGAGGAGCUUAGUCCAAAAGCAGCUGUGGCAGAUUCUAACUGUCUAAUCUCUUCUACAACAGCUACUGUGAGUUUACCUAGCACUUUUGUCCUCCCAAAAAUGUCAGCACCUGUUGUUGAUCUUGCAGAAGAACAGAAGGAUCAACUGCAAAAUUUGGCCUUUACGCACAUUGUUGAGGCCUAUAAGCAAAUAGCAGUUGCGGGAGGUUCACAAAUCCGCUUUUCCUUGCUUGCUUAUUUAGGAGUUGAGUUUCCAUCAGAGUUAGACCCGUGGAAACUCCUUCAGAAGCACAUAUUGUCAGAUUACGUGAAUCAUGAGGGACACGAGUUGACUUUGCGUGUCCUCUACAGAUUAUUUGGUGAGGUAGAAGAGGAACGCGAUUUCUUUUCUUCUACAACUGCUGCUUCUGUUUAUGAAAUGUUCCUCCUAACUGUGGCUGAAACACUUAGAGACUCUUUUCCUCCAUCAGACAAAUCAUUAAGUAGAUUGCUUGGUGAAGCUCCUUCUCUUCCAAAGUCAGUUCUGAAUUUGUUGGAGUCCUUGUGUUGUCCUGGAAAUGAUAAAGCUGAGAAGGAGUUCCCAAGUGGGGAUCGAGUUACUCAAGGUCUCAGCACUGUGUGGAGCUUGAUUUUGCAGAGGCCUCCUAUGCGAGAAGUCUGCUUGAAAAUUGCUUUGCAGAGUGCAGUUCAUCACUUGGAGGAAGUGCGCAUGAAAGCAAUUCGCCUGGUGGCAAACAAGCUUUAUCCUAUCUCAUCCAUUGCUCAACAAAUAGAAGAUUUUGCUAAGGAAAAAUUGCUCUGUAUCAUAAGUAGAGAUACCACAGAAGGUACAGAUGCUGAAGGAUUGAGCAGUGAACCACAGGAGGAUUCCAAUUUUGAAAAAACAUCAAAUGACCAUCAGUCAGUGAGUGCUGCCAGCAAAGAUAUUUCUUCAGACGCUCAUCAAUCAUUCACAUCAGAAAGUGCAUCAUCUCUCUCAAUCCCUGAGGCCCAGCGGUGCAUGUCACUGUACUUUGCUCUUUGCACAAAGAAACACUCCCUAUUUCGCCAAAUUUUUCUCAUUUAUAAAAGCACUUCAAAGGCAGUGAAGCAGGCAGUUCAUCGCCAUAUUCCGAUACUAGUCCGCACUAUGGGAUCAUCAUCUGAACUUCUUGAAAUACUUUCUGAUCCUCCAAUUGGAAGUGAAAAUCUUCUGAUGCAGGUUUUACAAACAUUGACAGAGGGGACAGUUCCUUCUCCUGAAUUAUUGUUCACCAUUAGGAAGUUAUAUGAUUCAAAGCUAAAGGAUAUAGAGAUUCUGAUUCCAGUACUGCCAUUCCUACCAAGAGAUGAGGUUUUGCUGACCUUUCCCCAUCUUGUGAAUCUUCCUCCUGAUAAGUUCCAAGCUGCACUUGCACGUGUACUACAGAGUAGGUCAUCUAUAUGGGGUGACUAUUUGUUCUCACCACCCAGCUCAGGAGAGACCUUGGCCUCCGACCUGCCGUCCCCUCUGAUCCGGUAGCCGGAAUCCAAGCGUGUGAGGCUCACACGCCUAACUCAGGUUCUCCUUGUUUUUUCACUCGCUGGCGUGUGGAGGCGUGUCCGCCGGCCGUUUCGACUCCGAUCAGCAUUGCCAGUGUUGCCUCAACCCUCUCAUUCCACCACUGUGUGCUGUUGCCUGAUCCAGUACACUAUUAAAGGACUUCUGAGGUUUAGUUCUCAAAUCCUAUUUCGGUAUUUGCUUGAUUUGUGAUUUUGGGUUAUUUUGCGGCUAUAAGUACUUUGGAUUAGCGUUUCGGUUAGUUUUCUUUGUCUCAACAAAUAGCAGACAAUAAGAAUGUUAUUUCUGAUGUGAUUCCGAUGAUGACUAAGAUCACGAAACAUAAACUUAAUGGUUCGAAUUACCUGGAGUGGAGUAAGACUGUUAGGGUCUAUUUGCGUAGCAUUGAUAAGGAUGAUUACCUUACUAAAGACCCACCCACUGAUGAUACACGGCAAACUUGGCUAUGGGAGGAUGCUCGUUUGUUUUUGCAGCUUCAGAACUCGAUUCACAGGGAGGUAAUUAGUUUAAUUAAUCACUGUGAAUUUGUUAAGGAAUUGAUGGAUUACUUAGAUUUUCUGCAUUCUGGUAAAGGGAAUAUCUCCCGUAUUUAUGAUAUUUGUAAGGCAUUUUACUAUGCUGAGAAAGAGGAUAAGUUUCUCAUGGCUUAUUUUAUGAAUUUUAAAUGGGUAUAUGAGGAACUUAAUGUAUUGUUGCCUUGUAGUUCUGAUGUGAAAGUUUAGCAAGCCCAACAGGAGCAACUGGCUGUUAUGAGUUUUCUUGCAGGCCUUCCUUCAGAGUACGAGACUGCUAAAUCUCAGAUUCUCUCCAGUUCUGAGAUUUCCUCUUUGUAUGAAACAUUCACACGGGUCCUUCGUACAGAGAGUACUCAAUCUUCACAGCUUGCCAGUAGUGCUCUUAUUAGCCGUAAUCCAAAUGAACAACAGGGUAAUAGAAGAGGAAGUAGAUGAGGAAUUACAGGCAACAGAGGUAAUCAGCGUAAUGGGGAGGCUAGUUCUAAUCAGGACUCAAGAAGAGUCAUUUGUUAUUAUUGCCAUGAGUCUGACCAUACAAAAUAUAAUUGUUCGCAACUUCAGAGAAAAAAUCAGCGAUCACAGAUGGCAAAUAUGGCAACAGAGGAUUCUACAGUAUCUUCCUCUGAGAACUGUUUUGGUGUCUGCAAAGGAUUUUGCACAGUUUUCCCAGUACCAGGCAUCUCUAAAGCCUACUAGUUCCCCUGUCACUGCGAUCGCUGAGUCAGCUAAAUCCACUACAUGUCUUGUGUCUUCCUCAUCCAAAUGGGUUAUUGAUUCUGGUGCGACAGAUCACAUGACAGAAUCUUACGACGAAGCAGAUUAUUGGUAGAGGACGUGAGUCUGGUGGUCUCUACAUUCUGAAAAAUCAUAUAUCGCGGUCACUUGUUUGUUCCAGUACCUUAACACUUCUUGAAGCUCAUUGUACAUUGGGCCAUCCUUCUUUGUUUAUCAUUUGUUUAUCAUGAAGAAGUUUUGUUCUCAGUUUCAGUUUUUAUCAUUACUAGAAUAUGAGUCGUGUCAGUUUGCAAAACAUCAUCAUUUGCCUUCUAUGUCUAGAAUCAAUAAACGGGCUUCAUCCCCUUUUGAGUUAGUUCAUUCUGAUGUUUGGGGUCCUUGUUCUAUUACUUCUAAAACUGGAUUUUGCUAUUUUGUUACUUUUGUUGAUGA